AGUUAUGAAAUUCUGGGCUCUGAAGCCAGGCCACCAAAAUCAUUAUGGCGUAUUUGGUGAGGAAUUAGAUGGUAUUGAGAAAUAUUUAGAAAGAAAUAGUAGCUAGAAUCUUGUUUAUUAUUCUUGUACAACAAAAAUGAGAAAUAUUUAGAAAGAAAUAGUAGCUAGAAUCUUGUUUAUCAUUCUUGUCCAACAAAAAUACAGUGUACUUGAUGCAGUAGAUCCUAGUUUGUCGAUAGUUGUAUUCUAAUUAUGAUUAUCGCAGGUGGUUAUCUUGCAAGAG
rnacentral:lncRNA from 1 species